rnacentral:rRNA from 1 species
UACGUAGGGGGCAAGCGUUGUCCGGAAUCAUUGGGCGUAAAGAGCGUGUAGGCGGCCCGAUAAGUCGGCUGUGAAAGUCCAGGGCUCAACCCUGGGAUGCCGGUCGAUACUGCCGGACUAGAGUUCGGAAGAGGCGAGUGGAAUUCCCGGUGUAGCGGUGAAAUGCGCAGAUAUCGGGAGGAACACCUAUGGCGAAGGCAGCUCGCUGGGACGUUACUGACGCUGAGACGCGAAAGCGUGGGGAGCAAACAGG